CGAAUGCUGACGUGAGUAACGACAAAACGGGUGAAAAACCCGUUCGCCGAAAGACCAAGGGUUCCAGUCCAACGUUAAUCGGGGCUGGGUGAGUCGACCCCUAAGGCGAGGCCGAAAGGCGUAGUCGAUGGGAAAAUGGUUAAUAUUCCAUUACUUCUGUGUAAUGCGAUGAGAGGACGGAGAAGGCUAAAUCAGCCUGGCGUUGGUUGUCCAGGUGAAAGGAUGUAGGCAUGUAUCUUAGGCAAAUCCGGGGUACUCUAUGCUGAGAUCUGAUAGCAAGCUGUACUUGUACAGCGAAGUGGUUGAUGCCAUGCUUCCAGGAAAAGUCUCUAAGCUUCAGUUACACAGGAAUCGUACCCGAAACCGACACAGGUGGUCAGGUCGAGUAGACCAAGGCGCUUGAGAGAACUCUGCUGAAGGAACUAGGCAAAAUGGUACCGUAACUUCGGGAGAAGGUACGCUGUUGUUGGUGAUGGAACUCGCUUCCUGAGCUGACGACAGCCGCAGAAACCAGGCCGCUGCAACUGUUUAUUAAAAACAUAGCACUCUGCAAACACGAAAGUGGACGUAUAGGGUGUGAUGCCUGCCCGGUGCUGGAAGGUUAAUUGAUGGGGUUAGCGUAAGCGAAGCUCUUGAUCGAAGCCCCAGUAAACGGCGGCCGUAACUAUAACGGUCCUAAGGUAGCGAAAUUCCUUGUCGGGUAAGUUCCGACCUGCACGAAUGGCAUAAUGAUGGCGGCGCUGUCUCCAGCAGAGGCUCAGUGAAAUCGAAAUCGCUGUGAAGAUGCAGUGUACCCGCGGCUAGACGGAAAGACCCCGUGAACCUUUACUGCAGCUUGACACUGAACUUUGACCUUACUUGUGUAGGAUAGGUGGGAGGCUUUGAAGCUGGAACGCUAGUUCCAGUGGAGCCGUCCUUGAAAUACCACCCUGGUAAUGUUGAGGUUCUAACUCUGUCCCGUGAUCCGGGACGAGGACCGUGUCUGGUGGGUAGUUUGACUGGGGCGGUCUCCUCCUAAAGAGUAACGGAGGAGUACGAAGGUGCGCUCAGCGUGGUCGGAAAUCACGCGUAGAGUAUAAAGGCAAAAGCGCGCUUAACUGCGAGACCCACAAGUCGAGCAGGUACGAAAGUAGGUCUUAGUGAUCCGGUGGUUCUGUAUGGAAGGGCCAUCGCUCAACGGAUAAAAGGUACUCUGGGGAUAACAGGCUGAUACCGCCCAAGAGUUCAUAUCGACGGCGGUGUUUGGCACCUCGAUGUCGGCUCAUCUCAUCCUGGGGCUGAAGCAGGUCCCAAGGGUAUGGCUGUUCGCCAUUUAAAGAGGUACGCGAGCUGGGUUUAGAACGUCGUGAGACAGUUCGGUCCCUAUCUACCGUGGGCGCUGGAAAUUUGAGAGGAUCUGCUCCUAGUACGAGAGGACCAGAGUGGACGAACCUCUGGUGUACCGGUUGUGACGCCAGUCGCAUCGCCGGGUAGCUAUGUUCGGAAGGGAUAACCGCUGAAAGCAUCUAAGCGGGAAGCCUACCUCAAGAUAAGAUUUCCCUAGGACUUUAUGUCCUCUAAAGAGCCGUUCGAGACUAGGACGUUGAUAGGUUGGAUGUGGAA
rnacentral:rRNA from 1 species